GGCAACGUGGGAGGCGGGGCCUGCGGAGAGAGCCCAGCCAAUCCUAGGACUGGAGAGAAGGCACAGGGGCCACAUGGGUGGGUGGGGGGAGGGCCUGCGGAGGGAGCCCAGCCAAUCCUAGGACUGGAGCGAGGUGCAGAGGCCGCGUGGGAGGCGGGGCCUGAGGGAGACCAGCCAAUCCUAGGAUGGGAGCAAAGUGCAGUGGCCACGUGGGAGGCGGGGCCUGUGGAGGGAGCCCAGCCAAUUCUAGGACGGGAGCGAGGUGCAGAGGCCACGUGGAAGGCGGGGCCUGUGGAGGGAGCCCAGCCAAUUCUAGGACGGGAGCGAGGUGCAGAGGCCACGUGGGAAGCGGGGCCUGAGGAGGGAGCCCAGCCAAUCCUAGGACUGGAAUGAAGGCACACAGGCCAUGUAGGAGGUGGGGCCUGUGGAGGGAGCCUGGCCAAUCCUAGGACUGGAGGGAAGGCACAGGGGCCACGUGGGGUUGGGGGGUUCUGCGGAGGGAGCCCAGCCAAUCCUAGGACUGGGGCGAAGUGCAGCGGCCACGUAGGAGGCGGAGCCUGUGGAGGGAGCCCAGCCAAUCCUAGGACUGGGGCGAAGUGCAGCGGCCACGUAGGAGGCGGAGCCUGUGGAGGGAGCCCAGCCAAUCCUAGGACUGGGGCGAAGUGCAGCAGCCACGUAGGAGGCGGAGCCUGUGGAGGGAGCCCAGCCAAUCCUAGGACUGAGGCGAAAGCACAGGGACCACUAGAGAGGCCGGGCCUGCAGAAGGGGCCCAGCCAAUCGCACUAGGGAAACAAGGCCCACGCAGAAGAGAAACCAGAGUCCUCCCCACAUGUUAACAGGAACAACUCAAGGGACCUGACGCUUGAAACACUGAGGAAACGAACACGUCCGAAAGAACACUCAACUGAGUCCAGCCUUGAGAUGAACCAGACACUGGGCCAACAGACACGUAUUUUCAAGGCAGCUCCUAAGGCUGUCCUCAAUGAAGAACAAAGAAAGAUUUCAAGGCAUGAAAAUAUCAGAGAAAUGAGAAGUCUCAGCGGAGAAACAGAAAAAGAAUCCAACGGAAAUUCUACAUCGAAAUUCACUGGCUGCUGAAGCCAUCACUGGGUGGAUGAACAGAAUCUCAGAGAUUUGCCUAAUGACAGGUAAAGUCAAACAAAUUGACUUGUACGCAACAUUAUUUGAGAUAAAUAGCAAGGGCUGAAAUCAACCUGAAUGCCCCAAAAAGAAGGAGAAAGAUUUCCAUGUACGGACAAUAUGAUGACUCUCCCCAAAUCCUGUCGGGAGAAAGGUAAGGGCUCGUGCACUAUCUACACUCUACCACUUUUUGUGUAAGAAAAGAGAAGGAAUAAGAAAUCUACUUGAGUAUUUUUUCUCGAUUUCUGCUGAUGGUUACUGCAGGUGCUACAGUUGGAAUGUGUGUGCCCCCCGACCAGACUCACAGGCUGAGACCCCAAGGUUAGGGUGAGGCUUUGGGAAAGCGAUUAGGUCAUGGGAGUGGAGGGAAUUGUGCCCUCAUAAAAGGGACCCCAGAGAACUGCUGCACCCCCUCCACCACGUGGGGACACAGUGAGAAGGCACUGGCUACGAACCAGGAAACCCUCCCCAGACACCAGAUCUACUAACACCUUCAUCUUGGGACUUCCAGCCCCCAGAGCAGUGAGAAAUACAUUCCUGUUAUUUGUAAGCCUCACGGUUUACAGUGUUUUGCUAUCACAGCUCGAAUGGACUAAGACAGCAGGAAACAGAAUACAGAGAACAUGGAGAGAAGCAAGGCUUUUCUGGGUGUGAACUUCCCAAGCAUGCAAAAAUUUUACACAAUCAAAAAACAAAAAAUUAAAUUGUAACAUUUAAAAUGAACUAAAAUUAAUGUAACUGCCUAUCAAGCCAGUGACACAAUCACACAAGCAACAUUUCUGGUGCCGCGAAGCACAAGACUGGGCCCAGCUUCCAUGGGACAUGUUCUAAGGAGUGAGACGCUGCAAAGAAGCGCAGAUGCCAUCCGGGAGCUGGACUGGUGCUUACUGUUAUCGGUAAUAUCUGGAGUGCUAUUUUGAAACUAAAGAUUUUAGAAACCAAAAUUUUUAUUGUAAGAGAUGCAAAUAUAAAAUCAAAGAAGUUGGAUAAAAACUCUACACUGUUAAAUUUGAAUUGGAAAUAUUAACAUGAACACAUUUUUAAAAAUCUAUUUACUUCAUAACUCUGUCCUCUGAAAAGUGAGUCAAGAGCCCAUGGCACCCUGACAGCAGUGGGCACCCCAGAGUCUCAUUUCAGUGUCUAAAAAUCUUUCUCUUCCAAAAGCACAAGGACAUCCUGGAGAAAUGGCUGAUUCCAAGUGUGGGGCAAGGAACAUAAGGGAGGCCUGGGUGUCACAUGGUACCGAAGAGCAGUGUCACCAAAGGAGACGGGCUCGCCUGCAUGGGCUCCCCAUGGCCAAAGAUGGGGCAGUUUGACCAUUAAAUAAGAAUGGCUAUAACUGAUCAAACACACAUGUAAAAAUGUAAACAAAAAAAAAAAGUAAAAAUCCAUGAGCCCACAUUAACACUCAAAACAGAGGAAAGAAAAAAAAGACCAAAAUUUCUUUGCUGCUACUUCCUCCCUCUGAAACUUGAUAACUAAAUGGUAAGAAUAAAGCAUUGAUCUUGCCUUUCUCUGAGGAGUAACCACAAAGCCCAGGUUUAAGGUUUAUUUAUUUAAACAGAAGAAUGUCUGUUAAUAAACAGGGAAGGCAUGGAUGCUCGGGGUGGCCAGUCGAGGUGGCCAUAAAGCUCCCUAUGGGACACAGCAGCCCCGGUGUGAGUGUCGCCAAACCUCAGCCCUUCCUCCCAGCUGGCCGCAAACACGGGAUAAGAGAACAAGUGAGGUGACACCACGGGGGGCACACAGAAAUGUGGACCAUGGGAUUUCUCAGGCCGUUGGCCAGUCUCCCCCAUAGGCCACUGUGUGGGCUGCUGGUAGGAAGAAACUUCUGGGAUGUGCCAAGUAUCAUACAAGGGACA
rnacentral:lncRNA from 10 species